GGAUCUGGUGGAGAGUCUAAACUCCAAACUGCAGACUCUGAGACUUUCAGAACCAUGCGGACUCUCAGAGACUCACUGAGAAAUUGUGGUCUCAGCUCUGAAGUCCAGCCUGUCCAACCUGACAGAACUGGACCUGACCAACAACAUCCUGGAAGAUUCAUCCAUGGAGGUUCUUUGGUUGUUCCGAUACAGCUCUAAAACUACUUCCUACGAGCGCAAUAACGUUUUCUUUUGUUUGUAUUUUGUUGUUUUUUUUGGAGUCAGGCAUUGGAACCUGGUUCUGUCUCUGGAACAGGGACAGAACCAGAACUCUGGAUCACAAGAUUCUGGUUCCAGAUGUUUUACACUUGAUUUCUGUUCUCCAGAAACUGUCAUUGACAAACAAACCCAGAGUUUCAUUCAGAAACCUCCAACAUGGUCAUGUGACCAGAAUGUUCAUAGUGGAGACACGGACAAACGCUGUGGUCACAUGACUCACUGGUUUGGAUUCAAGUCCUUUGAAGUCAGUUCUUGGAGCAGAAAUCCCGUCUGAUCUCAGUUAGUGAACAAAAGUCUCUCAGUUGAAUCAUUUUUCCAUCAUCUCUGUUCUCUUGAUGAUCAAAUAUUGACUCAUGCAGUUUGAAAGACUCAGAGUUUUGCUUUGAUUGAUGUUUUCCACAGUUUUGUGACUGAACUUCCUUUUUCUUUGGUGUUUUGUGGGUAAAACUCUGUUCUUUUUCAUGCUGACAGCAUUUUUAGCUGCAGUUUGUAAAGAAGUUUCAUCUAAAUCCAGUAGAAUCUCCUCAUUUUCUAGAAUGUCUGAAACUAGUAGAAACUUUCUGAGCAUAAAGCCUGUUUUCUCCAGAGGACAUGAAUGAACAGAGUGGAUCUUAGUGAGGAAUGACAGCCUCUGGAUGCAGAGAAUCACUUUGAAGCAGCUGCUGCAACAACACCAACUGCAUUGAAGCAGGAGGGAAAAGGGAGACACCUGCUGGCGGUUUGCAGAACUGCAUCUUAGUGUCAAAAGGCUUCGAACUGAAAGCUGUCUGUAAAAUUCCUGCAGCCUGUUUGGAUCUAAUAAAUGCUCUUUUGAAUCAA